UUAAGCGACUAAGCGUACACGGUGGAUGCCCUGGCAGUCAGAGGCGAUGAAGGACGUGCUAAUCUGCGAUAAGCGUCGGUAAGGUGAUAUGAACCGUUAUAACCGGCGAUUUCCGAAUGGGGAACCCAGUGUGUUUCGACACACUAUCAUUAACUGAAUCCAUAGGUUAAUGAGGCGAACCGGGGGAACUGAAACAUCUAAGUACCCCGAGGAAAAGAAAUCAACCGAGAUUCCCCCAGUAGCGGCGAGCGAACGGGGAGCAGCCCAGAGCCUGAAUCAGUGUGUGUGUUAGUGGAAGCGUCUGGAAAGGCGCGCGAUACAGGGUGACAGCCCCGUACACAAAAAUGCACAUGCUGUGAGCUCGAUGAGUAGGGCGGGACACGUGGUAUCCUGUCUGAAUAUGGGGGGACCAUCCUCCAAGGCUAAAUACUCCUGACUGACCGAUAGUGAACCAGUACCGUGAGGGAAAGGCGAAAAGAACCCCGGCGAGGGGAGUGAAAAAGAACCUGAAACCGUGUACGUACAAGCAGUGGGAGCACGCUUAGGCGUGUGACUGCGUACCUUUUGUAUAAUGGGUCAGCGACUUAUAUUCUGUAGCAAGGUUAACCGAAUAGGGGAGCCGAAGGGAAACCGAGUCUUAACUGGGCGUUAAGUUGCAGGGUAUAGACCCGAAACCCGGUGAUCUAGCCAUGGGCAGGUUGAAGGUUGGGUAACACUAACUGGAGGACCGAACCGACUAAUGUUGAAAAAUUAGCGGAUGACUUGUGGCUGGGGGUGAAAGGCCAAUCAAACCGGGAGAUAGCUGGUUCUCCCCGAAAGCUAUUUAGGUAGCGCCUCGUGAAUUCAUCUCCGGGGGUAGAGCACUGUUUCGGCAAGGGGGUCAUCCCGACUUACCAACCCGAUGCAAACUGCGAAUACCGGAGAAUGUUAUCACGGGAGACACACGGCGGGUGCUAACGUCCGUCGUGAAGAGGGAAACAACCCAGACCGCCAGCUAAGGUCCCAAAGUCAUGGUUAAGUGGGAAACGAUGUGGGAAGGCCCAGACAGCCAGGAUGUUGGCUUAGAAGCAGCCAUCAUUUAAAGAAAGCGUAAUAGCUCACUGGUCGAGUCGGCCUGCGCGGAAGAUGUAACGGGGCUAAACCAUGCACCGAAGCUGCGGCAGCGACGCUGAUGCGUUGUUGGGUAGGGGAGCGUUCUGUAAGCCUGCGAAGGUGUGCUGUGAGGCAUGCUGGAGGUAUCAGAAGUGCGAAUGCUGACAUAAGUAACGAUAAAGCGGGUGAAAAGCCCGCUCGCCGGAAGACCAAGGGUUCCUGUCCAACGUUAAUCGGGGCAGGGUGAGUCGACCCCUAAGGCGAGGCCGAAAGGCGUAGUCGAUGGGAAACAGGUUAAUAUUCCUGUACUUGGUGUUACUGCGAAGGGGGGACGGAGAAGGCUAUGUUGGCCGGGCGACGGUUGUCCCGGUUUAAGCGUGUAGGCUGGUUUUCCAGGCAAAUCCGGAAAAUCAAGGCUGAGGCGUGAUGACGAGGCACUACGGUGCUGAAGCAACAAAUGCCCUGCUUCCAGGAAAAGCCUCUAAGCAUCAGGUAACAUCAAAUCGUACCCCAAACCGACACAGGUGGUCAGGUAGAGAAUACCAAGGCGCUUGAGAGAACUCGGGUGAAGGAACUAGGCAAAAUGGUGCCGUAACUUCGGGAGAAGGCACGCUGAUAUGUAGGUGAAGUCCCUCGCGGAUGGAGCUGAAAUCAGUCGAAGAUACCAGCUGGCUGCAACUGUUUAUUAAAAACACAGCACUGUGCAAACACGAAAGUGGACGUAUACGGUGUGACGCCUGCCCGGUGCCGGAAGGUUAAUUGAUGGGGUUAGCGCAAGCGAAGCUCUUGAUCGAAGCCCCGGUAAACGGCGGCCGUAACUAUAACGGUCCUAAGGUAGCGAAAUUCCUUGUCGGGUAAGUUCCGACCUGCACGAAUGGCGUAAUGAUGGCCAGGCUGUCUCCACCCGAGACUCAGUGAAAUUGAACUCGCUGUGAAGAUGCAGUGUACCCGCGGCAAGACGGAAAGACCCCGUGAACCUUUACUAUAGCUUGACACUGAACAUUGAGCCUUGAUGUGUAGGAUAGGUGGGAGGCUUUGAAGUGUGGACGCCAGUCUGCAUGGAGCCGACCUUGAAAUACCACCCUUUAAUGUUUGAUGUUCUAACGUUGACCCGUAAUCCGGGUUGCGGACAGUGUCUGGUGGGUAGUUUGACUGGGGCGGUCUCCUCCUAAAGAGUAACGGAGGAGCACGAAGGUUGGCUAAUCCUGGUCGGACAUCAGGAGGUUAGUGCAAUGGCAUAAGCCAGCUUGACUGCGAGCGUGACGGCGCGAGCAGGUGCGAAAGCAGGUCAUAGUGAUCCGGUGGUUCUGAAUGGAAGGGCCAUCGCUCAACGGAUAAAAGGUACUCCGGGGAUAACAGGCUGAUACCGCCCAAGAGUUCAUAUCGACGGCGGUGUUUGGCACCUCGAUGUCGGCUCAUCACAUCCUGGGGCUGAAGUAGGUCCCAAGGGUAUGGCUGUUCGCCAUUUAAAGUGGUACGCGAGCUGGGUUUAGAACGUCGUGAGACAGUUCGGUCCCUAUCUGCCGUGGGCGCUGGAGAACUGAGGGGGGCUGCUCCUAGUACGAGAGGACCGGAGUGGACGCAUCACUGGUGUUCGGGUUGUCAUGCCAAUGGCACUGCCCGGUAGCUAAAUGCGGAAGAGAUAAGUGCUGAAAGCAUCUAAGCACGAAACUUGCCCCGAGAUGAGUUCUCCCUGACUCCUUGAGAGUCCUGAAGGAACGUUGAAGACGACGACGUUGAUAGGCCGGGUGUGUAAGCGCAGCGAUGCGUUGAGCUAACCGGUACUAAUGAACCGUGAGGCUUAACCUU
rnacentral:rRNA from 1 species